UACGUAGGGCGCAAGCGUUGUCCGGAUUUACUGGGCGUAAAGAGCGCGCAGGCGGUCGGAUAAGUCGAAUGUGAAAGCCCCCGGCUCAACUGGGGAGGGUCAUUCGAUACUGUUCGACUCGAAGGCAGGAGAGGGAAGUGGAAUUCCCGGUGUAGCGGUGAAAUGCGUAGAUAUCGGGAGGAAUACCAGUGGCGAAGGCGGCCUUCUGGACGGAUACUGACGCUGAGGCGCGAAAGCCAGGGGAGCAAACGGG
rnacentral:rRNA from 1 species